rnacentral:rRNA from 1 species
UUGAGCGAUUUACUUCGGUAAAGAGCGGCGGACGGGUGAGUAACGCGUGGGUAACCUACCCUGUACACACGGAUAACAUACCGAAAGGUAUGCUAAUACGGGAUAAUAUAUUUGAGAGGCAUCUCUUGAAUAUCAAAGGUGAGCCAGUACAGGAUGGACCCGCGUCUGAUUAGCUAGUUGGUAAGGUAACGGCUUACCAAGGCGACGAUCAGUAGCCGACCUGAGAGGGUGAUCGGCCACAUUGGAACUGAGACACGGUCCAAACUCCUACGGGAGGCAGCAGUGGGGAAUAUUGCACAAUGGGCGAAAGCCUGAUGCAGCAACGCCGCGUGAGUGAUGAAGGCCUUCGGGUCGUAAAACUCUGUCCUCAAGGAAGAUAAUGACGGUACUUGAGGAGGAAGCCCCGGCUAACUACGUGCCAGCAGCCGCGGUAAUACGUAGGGGGCUAGCGUUAUCCGGAUUUACUGGGCGUAAAGGGUGCGUAGGCGGUCUUUCAAGUCAGGAGUGAAAGGCUACGGCUCAACCGUAGUAAGCUCUUGAAACUGGGAGACUUGAGUGCAGGAGAGGAGAGUGGAAUUCCUAG